GCUGGAGUGGCGGAAUUGGCAGACGCACGGGACUUAAAAUCCCGGGGAUCGUGAGAUCCGUGCCGGUUCAAGCCCGGCCUUCAGCA
rnacentral:tRNA from 1 species